CAUUGAACAAUUUAAAAUUUCACAAGAUUGCAUAAACCAAAAUGCAAAAUCUACAAUCAUUCUUGGUGGUGACUUUUAUCUUGGCCAAAUUGACUGGGAUAUUCCAUGCACCAUCCAUAGCUAUAUAUAGCAAACCAGACAGUAUGCUCCAUGGGCAACUGCUUAACAUCAACGAUAAACAUUCACUUGAAUAGAUGGCAAAAACCCAGAC
rnacentral:lncRNA from 1 species